CUCAUCUUGACGGGGUGCCGGCUUUUUUUGCCGGCUGAGACGACACCCGUUGAACCUGAUCCGGUUAGUACCGGCGUAGGAAUCGAGAUGCGCAGUCCU
rnacentral:ncRNA from 1 species